AUUGAACGCUGGCGGCAGGCCUAACACAUGCAAGUCGAACGAGUGGCGGACGGGUGAGUAAUGUCUGGGAAACUGCCCGCUGGAGGGGGAUAACUACUGGAAACGGUAGCUAAUACCGCAUACCAUCGGAUGUGCCCAGAUGGGAUGGGCUAGUAGGGGGGGUAACGGCUCACCUAGGCGACGAUCCCUAGCUGGUCUGAGAGGAUGACCGGCCACACUGGAACUGCGGCACGGUCCCGCCGCCUACGGGAGGCAGCAGUGGGGAAUAUUGCACAAUGGGCGAAAGCCUGAUGCAGCCAUGCCGCGGGUAUGAAGAAGGCCUUCGGGUUGUAAAGUACUGUCAGCGAGGAGGCGUUACGCGCAGAAGAAGCACCGGCUAACUCCGUGCCAGCAGCCGCGGUAAUAC
rnacentral:rRNA from 1 species